rnacentral:rRNA from 1 species
CAGCAGCCACGGUAAAACGUAGGUGGCAAGCGUUGUCCGGAAUUAUUGGGCGUAAAGGGCUCGCAGGCGGUUUCUUAAGUCUGAUGUGAAAGCCCCCGGCUCAACCGGGGAGGGUCAUUGGAAACUGGGAAACUUGAGUGCAGAAGAGGAGAGUGGAAUUCCACGUGUAGCGGUGAAAUGCGUAGAGGUGUGGAGGAACACCAGUGGCGAAGGCGACUCUCUGGUCUGUAACUGACGCUGAGGAGCGAAAGCGUGGGGAGCGAACAGGAUUAGAUACCCCAGUAGUCCCUGUCUCUUAUAC